rnacentral:rRNA from 1 species
UACGUAGGGUGCGAGCGUUAAUCGGAAUUACUGGGCGUAAAGCGUGCGUAGGCGGUUCUUUAAGUCUGCUGUGAAAUCCCCGGGCUCAACCUGGGAAUGGCAGUGGAUACUGGCGAGCUAGAGUGUGUCAGAGGAUGGUGGAAUUCCCGGUGUAGCGGUGAAAUGCGUAGAGAUCGGGAGGAACAUCAGUGGCGAAGGCGGCCAUCUGGGACAACACUGACGCUGAAGCACGAAAGCGUGGGGAGCAAACAGG